rnacentral:rRNA from 1 species
AUACAUGGCGUACUGCUCAGUAACACGUGGACAACCUACCCUCCAGACGGGUAUAAACCCGGGAAACUGGGUAUAAUCCCCGAUAGAUCUCGGUCGCUGGAAUGCUCCGAGAUCGAAAGCUCCGGCGCCGGAGGAUGGGUCUGCGGCCUAUCAGGUAGUAGUGGGUGUAGCGUACCUACUAGCCUACGACGGGUACGGGUUGUGAGAGCAAGAGCCCGGAGAUGGAUUCUGAGACACGAAUCCAGGCCCUACGGGGUGCAGCAGGCGCGAAAACUUUACAAUGCCGGCAACGGCGAUAAGGGGACCUCGAGUGCCAGGUUUCAAAUCUGGCUGUCGUGAUGCCUAAAAAGCAUUGCAUAGCAAGGGCCGGGCAAGACCGGUGCCAGCCGCCGCGGUAACACCGGCGGCUCGAGUGGUAACCGUUAUUAUUGGGUCUAAAGGGUCUGUAGCCGGCCGGAUAAGUCUCUUGAGAAAUCCAGCAGCUCAACUGUUGGGCUUUCAGGAGAUACUGUUCGGCUCGAGGCCGGGAGAGGUGAGAGGUACUUCAGGGGUAGGGGUGAAAUCUUGUAAUCCUUGAAGGACCACCAGUGGCGAAGGCGUCUCACCAGAACGGACCUGACGGCAAGGGACGAAAGCUAGGGGCACGAACCGGAUUAGAUACCCGGGUAGUCCUAGCCGUAAACGAUACUCGCUAGGUGUCGGCCACGGUGCGACCGUUGUCGGUGCCGUAGGGAAGCCGUGAAGCGAGCCACCUGGGAAGUACGGCCGCAAGGCUGAAACUUAAAGGAAUUGGCGGGGGAGCACCACAACGGGUGGAGCUUGCGGUUUAAUUGGAUUCAACGCCGGAAAUCUUACCGGGACCGACAGCAAUAUGAAGGCCAGGCUGAAGACUUUGCCGGAUUAGCUGAGAGGUGGUGCAUGGCCGUCGUCAGUUCGUACUGUGAAGCAUCCUGUUAAGUCAGGCAACGAGCGAGACCCA